rnacentral:rRNA from 1 species
GAUGAACGCUGACAGAAUGCUUAACACAUGCAAGUCAACUUGAACUUCGCUUUGGGUGUCGGACGGGUGAGUAACGCGUAAAGAACUUGCCUCACAGUUAGGUACACCAUAUGGAAACGAAUGCUAAUACCAGAUAUUCUGAUUAUAUGUCAGCGUAUCAUUAUGAAAGUUAUGUGCGCUGUGAGUGAGCUUUGCGUCCUGUUGGCUAGUGGGAGAGGUUACGGCUCACCAGGGCGAUGAUGGGUAGCCGGCCUGAGAGGGUGAUCGGCGACAAGGGGACGGAGACACGGCCCUUACUCUUACGGGAGGCAGAGUUGGGGAAUAUUGGACAAGGGACCAAGAGUCUGAUACAGCAAUUCUGUGUGGACGAUGAAGUUUUUCGGAAUGUAAAGUUCUUUCAGGUGGGAAGAAGAAAAUGACGGUACCAACAGAAGAAGCGACGGCUAAAUACGUG